UACGGAGGGGGCUAGCGUUGUUCGGAAUUACUGGGCGUAAAGCGCACGUAGGCGGCUUUGUAAGUUAGAGGUGAAAGCCUGGUGCUCAACACCAGAACUGCCUUUAAGACUGCAUCGCUUGAAUCAUGGAGAGGCGGGUGGAAUUCCGAGUGUAGAGGUGAAAUUCGUAGAUAUUCGGAAGAACACCAGUGGCGAAGGCGACUUCCUGGCCUGUUCUUGACGCUGAGGCGCGAAAGCUAGGGGAGCAAACGGG
rnacentral:rRNA from 1 species